CCUACGGGUGACUGCAGUGAGGAAUAUUGGUCAAUGGGCGGAAGCCUGAACCAGCCAAGUCGCGUGAGGGAUUAAGGCCCUGCGGGUCGUAAACCUCUUUUGCAGGGGAGCAGAGGUCCGGACGUGUCCGGGCCGGGAGGGUACCCGGAGAAAAAGAAUCGGCUAACUCCGUGCCAGCAGCCGCGGUAAUACGGAGGAUGCGAGCGUUAUCCGGAUUUAUUGGGUUAAAAGGGUGCGUAGGCGGGCAUUUAAGCCGGCGGUCAAAUGUCGGGGCUCAACCCCGGCCUGCCGGCGGAACGGGGUGCCUUGAGUGGGCGAGAAGUAUGCGGAAUGCGUGGUGUAGCGGUGAAAUGCAUAGAUAUCACGCAGAACCCCGAUUGCGAAGGCAGCAUACCGGCGCCCUACUGACGCUGAGGCACGAAAGUGCGGGUAUCGAACAGGAUUAGAUACCCGAGUAGUC
rnacentral:rRNA from 1 species